rnacentral:lncRNA from 1 species
GUGAGUCAGAACUCCAGAAAGGUUGCAAAAGGGGAAGCACUGGUCCUGGGUUCCUCUACUUCCUUCUUAGACAGAGGCGCUGAGUGAUCAUCCAAGAAGUGGCUACCAAAAAAGUCACCACUUUCUCUGAGGUCCUGUGGCUCUCUAUACUGGAAAUCACAGAGUGACACUGGCUGCAGCCAGCACGGAAGGGGCCCUGGGUCUGAAGGCUCAGGGGCCUGGGACAAUGAGAAGUGAGGCCCUUCUCUUGAUUCACUUCUGUUAGUGAAUCCUGGUAGUGGGAGUUCUUCCUAGGAUUCAUGGAGAAACUCCUGCUGCUCUUCUUUUUUUCCUGGAAAAAAGAACCCAUUUUUCCACUGGCAGAAAAGACUCCCACUGGUAACUUAAGAAAUCACAGGAUACACCUACAGAGGCUUUGUGAUUUCAUCCAGUUCCCAUGUCACCUCCGAGAGCUGUUCUCAGAUGAUCAACAACCCACAGCUAAUAUUUACUAA